rnacentral:lncRNA from 1 species
GAAUAAAAAAAUAAUACAAUUUAUCACGUUAAAUAAAUCCAACUCAGAUAGCGCGUCUAAGGGCGCGCCCCAUCUACUAGUAAGAAUCAAAGUCGUGCACCACCUCAUCACCAGGUGAGAGAGCUAGAGAGAGAAAUCGAGAAGAGAAGGACAAAAGAAGAGCCACCGAAGCCGACCUCUACUCAUGCCGCCGAUUAAGCCUUGUUGACCGAUCCAUGAUGAAGGCAGAGCUCGAGGAAGGUAGUCGAUGGUCGUCGCGACCGCUGUAUCAGCCGGUCCGACAACAAUUUCUCGUUGGCGUUAAAACACCACGCGGAUCUGCAGAGCAUCGUGGACCGAAGCCUCCUCGCCAUCAUUCUCGGUAAGAUCUGUUCCCGCUGGUUCGUCGUGUUCGUAGCAUCAUGUAGCUCCUAUCCGUGUGAAGUUUAGGGGGCAUUGGGGGCCGGGGCGCUGUGCUCCGGCAGACCUUCACCGUGGUCCGGGCGGCGCUGGUAGCUAGAGGGUGAAUGGGGGACCGUGAGCCGUUGGAUCUGGCAGGGGUGGUGAAUAUUAGAUUGGGUUCGGACAGAUAUGGACCGUCGAUCUCGAAUGGAUGACCAAGAUCAUACCGUACGUACCCCUCCAUAACUUUAAAUCUAGACCCUUGGUAUUAGAUCGGGUGGUCGAUCUCAUAUAUCGGUUUAGAUAGUAAUGUGGGCUGUUGGAUUAGGAUCGCUCGGCCCUGGUUAAUGUACCCCUUCACACGAUAAUACUGACCAUUGUAAUCUGAUCGUACAAUUGAUAUCGAAGCUGAGUUACUUUAAAUCGUAACCAUAGAGACUAGAUCGGGUUGCCACAACUUCUUACCAGUUCACAUAAGGGUUGGAUCGAUGUGCCACGGGUUUCUAAUCCAACGACUCUGAUGGGUCAGUACUCGUUCGGCCGUGCCUUUUUGCUAAAGAGGCCCUGGAUUGCUUUCUAUUCAACCCGCCAUCCACACAUGAACAAAGAUCAUUGCAUAUAAGUCUAGUUUUUCACAAGCUUGGCCCAGAGAAUCUCAUAAAUUGUAGCCAUCGUCCCUGGUCCUUAGGAUAUUAAUAAAAUAAAUCCAAAAAUUGAAUUUUAGUACAAAAUUUAAUCCUAAAACUUAGUAAAUUCAUAACUUUCGCGGCUUAACCCGAUUUAAUCUGUUCCAAUUGCGUUAGCUUCGUAAUAAGAUUGCAUACGCAGUAACAACCUUAAUUGUAUCAUAUCACACACUUAGAUAUUUGUUUAUACUAUGGUCACUAGAUUUAUCUUACUUAAUCUAUCCAUAAAUACAAUCUAAUCUGUAAUCAAGUUAUAAUCUAGGAUAAAGUUGAACUAGUUAUUUCUUUAAUAACUUUUCUCAUAUGAUUUACAUUAAUCAACAUAGAAUUUAGUUUGUAUCAUUUAAUCAUGGUAAUCUUCCGAAAACCAUAUCUUACUAACCACAACUCCGAUUUUAUAGGUUCUCGAACCUACGAUCUUGUAGCGGCGCGUAGAAUAUUCUUACGCUGUUUGUUCUCAUGUUUGGUGUACUGUUAUCUUUAUGUAGUCCUUGUAUAUUUGUAUGUUUUGCUAUGAGUAGGAGUGAGGUCAUGAGAAACUUGAAUACCAAACUGGAGAAGUACCUGGAAUCUCGAGUCUAAGUCAAGUUGUGCUCUUGAUCACUCUUCUUUACCUAAUAAUGUUACUGUUAAUCACUGUGACAUGCUCAGGUUAAUUUGAUGGGACCUAAUAGGUUUCCCUAGUAUUGUCUAUCCCACGCCUUGUUUACCACUGAACUUUUGGGUAGUAUUGCUACUGCUCUACCAGGUUUUGGGAUUAACGGUAUGUUGAAUUAUGAUCAUGGUUCACUAUUAUUGCUGGUUUAUUAUUGUUCAUGACAAGAUCAUUGUGUUAAUUGGAACAUGGAGCGACCACCUGGGAAAACAAUGCUACCACAAGGGUAGCAUGGGACGCCCUUGGCUGACUAAUUAGGAAAGCUAGUGGAGGACUACCUUACCCAAAAGGGGCAAGGGUGGUAGAGGAGCUGCGCUAUAGGGAGGUUCUCAGGUCGAUCAAGCUGCGAUGGCUUUUCGGACGAGGGAUUCCUAUAUUGCCCUUCUCAGAAACCGUUGCGGGUUUUCUGAAGCUAGUGGAACUUUGUAAAGGCCUCAUAGUGCUACCGCGCCUCGUCUCCUCGACAGAGAUGAAUGGGAAGUCGCGAUUCCUUAGCAAAUGGGUAACAUGACUUGUGGGUAGAUGUGCAACCUCUAUAGAGUGUAAAACUGGUAUAUCAGCCGUGCCCACGAUCAUGUGUAGCUCGGACCCUCACAUGAGUAAUCUAUAGAACUAAACUUAAUUUGUCAUAUGCAUUGCAUUGUGGGUGUUAUUAUUAAUUGUGAUCUCUUAUUUAUUUGGGUUGGUAUCUACUUAUACUUAGUAUCUGCUAAUAAAACUUUGACCAAUUUUAAAAGCAAUGCCCAGUUUUAACCAUCUCCUUUGGUAAGCCUUACACUUCACAUGAGCCCCACAGUAAGUGAGCUCAUGCACAUUAUUCCCCACAACUUGUUGAGCGAUGAACGUAUGUGAGCUCACCCUUGCUAUACUCACAUCCCCUAGGUCAAGGACAUGUACCACAAGAUAGGGAGCAUGAAGGAUGUCACGAUGAGUUCGUGAGAGGUCUAGGCCAUCAUCUUCCAGUCAAAUAUGGUUGUUGGAUCAUUGUCUUCUUAUGAUAUAAUUAUUUAACUAUUU